rnacentral:rRNA from 1 species
UACGGAGGGGGCUAGCGUUGUUCGGAAUCACUGGGCGUAAAGCGCACGCAGGCGGAUUGAUAAGUCAGGAGUGAAAUCCCGGAGCUCAACUUCGGAAUAGCCUUUAAGACUGCAUCGCUUGAACGUCGGAGAGGUGAGUGGAAUUCCGAGUGUAGAGGUGAAAUUCGUAGAUAUUCGGAAGAACACCGGUGGCGAAGGCGGGUCUCUGGGCAGUAACUGACGCUGAGGUGCGAAAGCGUGGGGAGCAAACAGG